rnacentral:miRNA from 1 species
UAGGGUGACAAACUGUCCUGGUUUGCCUGGGACUGAGGGCUUUUCCUUGAAUUCAGCACUUUCGGUGCCCAAACCA